GAUGAACGCUGGCGGCGUGCCUAAUACAUGCCAGUCGAGCGAACAGACGAGGAGCUUGCUCCUCUGACGUUAGCGGCGGACGGGUGAGUAACACGUGGAUAACCUACCUAUAAGACUGGGAUAACUUCGGGAAACCGGCGCUAAUACCGGAUAAUAUAUUGAACCGCAUGGUUCAAUAGUGAAAGACGGUUUUGCUGUCACUUAUAGAUGGAUCCGCGCCGCAUUAGCUAGUUGGUAAGGUAACGGCUUACCAAGGCAACGAUGCGUAGCCGACCUGAGAGGGUGAUCGGCCACACUGGAACUGAGACACGGUCCAGACUCCUACGGGAGGCAGCAGUAGGGAAUCUUCCGCAAUGGGCGAAAGCUUGACGGAGCAACGCCGCGUGAGUGAUGAAGGUCUUCGGAUCGUAAAACUCUGUUAUUAGGGAAGAACAAAUGUGUAAGUAACUAUGCACGUCUUGACGGUACCUAAUCAGAAAGCCACGGCUAACUACGUG
rnacentral:rRNA from 1 species